rnacentral:rRNA from 1 species
AACGAACGCUGGCGGCGUGCCUAACACAUGCAAGUCGAACGCGAAAGGGGGCAACCCCCGGUAGCGUGGCAGACGGGUGAGUAACACGUGGGUAACCUACCCGGAGGUGGGGGAUAACCCUUCGAAAGGAGGGCUAAUACCGCAUGAUACCGCGAGGACCUCGGUCCUCGCGAUCAAAGCUGGCCUCUGUUUACAAGCUAGCGCCACCGGAUGGGCCCGCGCCCCAUUAGCUAGUUGGUGAGGUAACGGCUCACCAAGGCGACGAUGGGUAGCCGGCCUGAGAGGGCGAUCGGCCACACUGGAACUGCGACACGGUCCAGACUCCUACGGGAGGCAGCAGUGAGGAAUCUUGCGCAAUGGGCGAAAGCCUGACGCAGCGACGCCGCGUGGAGGAUGAAGGUCUUCGGAUUGUAAACUCCUGUCGAGUGGGACGAAUGCCGUGAGGGUGAACAACCUUCGCGGUUGACGGUACCGCUGGAGGAAGCCCCGGCUAACUCCGUGCCAGCAGCCGCGGUAAUACGGAGGGGGCUAGCGUUGUUCGGAAUCAUUGGGCGUAAAGGGCGCGCUAGCGGCCGAUCAAGUCGGAGGUGAAAUCCCUC